GAAUAUUGGACAAUGGGCGCAAGCCUGAUCCAGCCAUGCCGCGUGAGUGAUGAAGGCCUUAGGGUUGUAAAGCUCUUUCAGUGGGGACGAUAAUGACGGUACCCACAGAAGAAGCCCCGGCUAACUUCGUGCCAGCAGCCGCGGUAAUACGAAGGGGGCUAGCGUUGUUCGGAUUUACUGGGCGUAAAGCGCACGUAGGCGGAUCGUUAAGUGAGGGGUGAAAUCCCAGGGCUCAACCCUGGAACUGCCUUUCAUACUGGCGACCUUGAGUCCGGAAGAGGUGAGUGGAAUUCCGAGUGUAGAGGUGAAAUUCGUAGAUAUUCGGAAGAACACCAGUGGCGAAGGCGACUCACUGGACAUGUAUUGACGCUGAGGUACGAAAGCGUGGGGAGCAAAC
rnacentral:rRNA from 1 species